GACGAACGCUGGCGGCGUGCUUAACACAUGCAAGUCGAACGGAAAGGCCCUGCUUUUGUGGGGUGCUCGAGUGGCGAACGGGUGAGUAACACGUGAGUAACCUGCCCUUGACUUUGGGAUAACUUCAGGAAACUGGGGCUAAUACCGGAUAGGAGCUCCUGCUGCAUGGUGGGGGUUGGAAAGUUUCGGCGGGUGGGGAUGGACUCGCGGCUUAUCAGCUUGUUGGUGGGGUAGUGGCUUACCAAGGCUUUGACGGGUAGCCGGCCUGAGAGGGUGACCGGCCACAUUGGGACUGAGAGACGGCCCAGACUCCGACGGGAGGCAGCAGUGGGGAAUAUUGCACAAUGGGCGGAAGCCUGAUGCAGCAACGCCGCGUGCGGGAUGACGGCCUUCUGGUUGUAAACCGCUUUCGCCUGUGACGAAGCGUGAGUGACGGUAAUGGGUAAAGAAGCACCGGCUAACUACGUG
rnacentral:rRNA from 1 species